UUUCCGUAGGUGAACCUGCGGAAGGAUCAUUAUUGUAUAACCGAGGUGCGAGGGCUGUCGCUGACCCGAAAGGUCGUGCACGCCCGAGUGCCCUCACUCACAUCCAUCUCACCCCUAUGUGCACCACCGCGUGGGUCCCCCUUUGGCUUGUUCGGAGGGGGGCUUACGUUUUCACACAAACUUUGUAUGCAGUGUAGAAUGUAUUUUAUGUUUUUGCGAUCACGCAAUCAAUACAACUUUCAACAACGGAUCUCUUGGCUCUC
rnacentral:misc_RNA from 1 species